UGCCAAAAUCGGAUGACUCUGCUUCCCACAACAAAAGGGCCUUUUCAUAUUAUUGGAAUGAACGUCAGAUUACAGUCAGUUAUUGAUCUGUCAAAAUCGGACAUAGAGAAUACAUUGAAGGAGCUCCUCAUACAAAAUGGAUUGUCAUCAGUGGGGAUGUCCGUGAAGGUUCAAUCUUUAAAAAAGACCAAAGCCAAGAAUCCAAUUUAAUAUCUUACAGUUAGGAAAAGAAA